ensembl:piRNA 21ur-1935 ncRNA
UUUAAUGUCUCUUUGUUUGAG